UCUUUUAAAAAAAAAAACUGAAAACUUUUCAGUUCUCUCUCACCCUUUUCCCCUUUCUGACCGUCAGGCUUCCAGGCCUUCGCCGCGCCGCCUCCAUGGCCAGUGGCCGAAGUCGCGCGAGAUUGGUUUUUUAACCCUGGCUUUCGGCACGCAUAAAGGCGGUGCCUUUUUAAGCCAAGAGGCCGCAAAAAGGGGGGGCUCGAAUCUUCCUCUAGGUCCAGAUCCGACGCCGACGAGAGGCCACCGACGGCGCAAACCGAUUCAGGUGACUCUUUUAUUUAUUUAGUUUUAUUUUAAAACGUUUUCAAAAAGAAAGAAAAAAUAAAAGUAAAUAGAUAAAUAAAUAAACAAAUAAAUCGAUAAAAAAAAUCAGAACGAGAACAACCUUUUCUUUUAUUUCCGAUCUUUGUAACAAAAGAUCCCCCCUAUUACAGCAAAUUCGGCUUUAGCCGAAAGAAAAGAAGAAAAAUAAUAAAAGAAAAAUCCCCCUCCUUCUUUGAGUACCCUUUUUGGGUGUUUAUAACCCAAAAAUAAAAAAAGAAACCAAAAAGGUCCAAAUCAUCAAAUUUUUUUUUGUUCUCCUUUUCGCUAUUUUGUUUAUUUUUUCUCUCUCUUGUGGCUUGUUUGUCAUAUUUGUUGCAGGUACCAUGUACGGAGGUGCGUGGCGUGGCGAGGGCGCAGAGGGUGGUGCUGGAAACCAUGCGGUCAUGCGGCGCCUAGGGUUUCUGCUCCUGAAUUUUGUUUUGGGCUACUGGGCUUGUAAUCUGGUCUGGUAUUUGGGCUUCAAUCUGAAUUCGUCCCAUUGUAAUUGGAUUGAUAGACUUUUAAUUUGGUUUUGUUUGAUUUUAUUUAUUUGGAUUUGAGUAUGCUUUGGACCUGGUCAAAAUAGGCCUAUUACAAUAGUUUUAAUACGUUGAAUUAUUACCAGCAAUGAUUUAAUAACUAAC
rnacentral:lncRNA from 1 species